rnacentral:rRNA from 1 species
GCAGUAGCCGCGGUAAUACAGAGGGUGCGAGCGUUAAUCGGAUUUACUGGGCGUAAAGCGUGCGUAGGCGGCUUCUUAAGUCGGAUGUGAAAUCCCUGAGCUUAACUUAGGAAUUGCAUUCGAUACUGGGAAGCUAGAGUAUGGGAGAGGAUGGUAGAAUUCCAGGUGUAGCGGUGAAAUGCGUAGAGAUCUGGAGGAAUACCGAUGGCGAAGGCAGCCAUCUGGCCUAAUACUGACGCUGAGGUACGAAAGCAUGGGGAGCAAACAGGAUUAGAUACCCCAGUAGUCCCUGUCUCUUAUAC